rnacentral:rRNA from 1 species
UACGUAGGGUCCGAGCGUUGUCCGGAAUUACUGGGCGUAAAGAGCUCGUAGGUGGUUUGUCGCGUUGUUCGUGAAAACUCACAGCUCAACUGUGGGCGUGCGGGCGAUACGGGCAGACUUGAGUACUGCAGGGGAGACUGGAAUUCCUGGUGUAGCGGUGAAAUGCGUAGAUAUCUGGAGGAACACCGGUGGCGAAGGCGGCAUCCUGGACCGGUAUUGACGCUGAGGCGCGAAAGCCAGGGGAGCAAACGGG